AUUCCAGCUCCAAUAGCGUAUAUUAAAGUUGUUGCGGUUAAUAAGCUCGUAGUUGGAUUUCUGUUGAGAGCAGCCGGUCCACCUUUUGGGUGAGUAUCUGGAUUGAUCUCGGCAUCCUCUCGAAAAACGUUUCUGCGCUUGAUUGCGGUACGGGGUUCGAGACUUUUACUUUGAGGUUAUAAGAGUGUUCACGGCAGGCAUACGCCUUGAAUAUAUUAGCAUGGAAUAAUACUAUAGGAUUUCGGUUCUAUUUUGUUGGUUUCUAGAGCUGGAAUAAUGAUUAAUAGGGACAAUUGGGGGCAUUCGUAUUGACGAGUCAGAGGUGAAAUUCUUGGAUUUCGUCACGACGAACUACUGCGAAAGCAUUUGCCAAGGAUGUUUUCAUUA
rnacentral:rRNA from 1 species